GGAAAAUUGCAAACAAUUUAGAAACUCAAAACGCUUGACGUAGUUUACCUGUAACAUUUUAUUUUUUUUUGCUUGUAACAUUUUUUUAGCAAAGCAACACUUCGUAAUUCAGACGCAAACCACGUCGGCUUAUUUGAUCACAAAUCACAAUACUUCAAUAAUCAAUAGUGUCAGGGUAGUGUAAACCAGACAUAUACAAGAAUGCCCGUAUUUAAGUUUUUAAUAAAAAUCUCCCUUUAUUGAAAUCUUAAAAUUUUUCUCAAUAUUAAUUGCCAUGAUAGUGUAAACGAUCCAUAAAAUUCUGGCGGUAUUAAUCAAUUAAUUUAGACAGGCUUAAUUUUGCAAUUUUAUAAGAAAGUCUGCCUCUGCAAGCGACCAUUAAUCACCCGUUAGCAUCUUUAAUUGGAAACGAAAAGGACAAUUGAUUAUAAUAGGACUAGCGUAGAAAAUUUAAUUACUGUUUUGGCUUGUAUUGAGGAUUAUCGUUUCUCGCAUUAACCUUGGUAUAUAGCUUAGAGAAGUCUAGAGAAAUGUAAACAUUUGUUGAAUAAUUGCGAAGUAUAUUCAUUGUCUAGG